rnacentral:rRNA from 1 species
AAAUUGAAGAGUUUGAUCAUGGCUCAGAUUGAACGCUGGCGGCAGGCCUAACACAUGCAAGUCGAACGGUAACAGGAAWCAGCUUGCUGWUUCGCUGACGAGUGGCGGACGGGUGAGUAAUGUCUGGGAAACUGCCUGAUGGAGGGGGAUAACUACUGGAAACGGUAGCUAAUACCGCAUAACGUCGCAAGACCAAAGAGGGGGACCUUCGGGCCUCUUGCCAUCGGAUGUGCCCAGAUGGGAUUAGCUAGUAGGUGGGG